rnacentral:rRNA from 1 species
GAUGAACGCUGGCGGCGUGCCUAAUACAUGCAAGUCGAGCGAACAGACGAGGAGCUUGCUCCUCUGACGUUAGCGGCGGACGGGUGAGUAACACGUGGAUAACCUACCUAUAAGACUGGGAUAACUUCGGGAAACCGGAGCUAAUACCGUAUAACAUGUUGAACCGCAUGGUUCAACAGUGAAAGACGGUCUUGCUGUCACUUAUAGAUGGAUCCGCGCCGCAUUAGCUAGUUGGUAAGGUAACGGCUUACCAAGGCGACGAUGCGUAGCCGACCUGAGAGGGUGAUCGGCCACACUGGAACUGAGACACGGUCCAGACUCCUACGGGAGGCAGCAGUAGGGAAUCUUCCGCAAUGGGCGAAAGCCUGACGGAGCAACGCCGCGUGAGUGAAGAAGGUCUUCGGAUCGUAAAACUCUGUUAUUAGGGAAGAACAAAUGUGUAAGUAACUAUGCACGUCUUGACGGUACCUAAUCAGAAAGCCACGGCUAACUACGUG